rnacentral:rRNA from 1 species
UACGAAGGGGGCUAGCGUUGCUCGGAAUCACUGGGCGUAAAGGAUGCGUAGGCGGGUCUUUAAGUCAGGGGUGAAAUCCUGGAGCUCAACUCCAGAACUGCCUUUGAUACUGAGGAUCUUGAGUUCGGGAGAGGUGAGUGGAACUGCGAGUGUAGAGGUGAAAUUCGUAGAUAUUCGCAAGAACACCAGUGGCGAAGGCGGCUCACUGGCCCGGUACUGACGCUGAGGUGCGAAAGCGUGGGGAGCAAACAGG